rnacentral:rRNA from 1 species
GAUUUCUGGCUUGAAACAUUUUGCCGGCCACGGUUUCGUGUGUUAGUGCUUGAUGUUCUGGCCAUCCUUCCAAUCGCUAUUGGCUAUUCUUCAUUGAAUGGUCAGUAGUAUUGGAUCUUUUACUUUGAAAAAAUUAGAGUGUUUCAAGCAGGCUUUAUGCUAUGAAUACAUUAGCAUGGAAUAAUAAUUUAGGACUUCGGUUCUAUUUUGUUGGUUUCUAGGACUGAAGUAAUGAUUGAUAGGGAUAGUUGGGGGUGCUCGAAUUCAGCGGCCAGAGGUGAAAUUCUUGGAUUCGCUGAAGACGAACUCAUGCGAAAGCAUU